rnacentral:lncRNA from 1 species
UUUUUUUUGCUUUGAUCUUUGGAAAAAAAAAGUAAUAAAAGAAUUAAUAAAAAUGUACGUGAGUAUUGUAAAACCUGUCUUUCCUGUACUUGGUUUAUUUGGGGAUUUUUUUAUGUUCUGUCUGAAAAACCACUUUUAAACCAGAUAAUGAAAAAAGAUUAAAAUCUUCAUUAUAGAUCCAAUUUAUAAGUUUUUUUUAUAGCCAUGAUAGACUAAUCUAGUAGGAUUGUGUAUAGGUUCCUUUUUUGGUAUCAGCUUCCCCCAUACUAAAAGCAUAUCCAAAUUCAUACAUGUUUGUUAAUAUUCAAUAUUACCAAUAUUAUACAUUAUAUUAAUAACUAGAUUGUGCCUGUGAAAGUAGAGAGAUGGGUGAGAUUACAACAAGGAAGCUCUACAUUGGCUUCAUAACCCUUCCAUUCUGGGUUUCACUUUUUUGUUGUGUUUCUGUCCUGAGUUCAGCUAUAGCAGCCAUUUUUCUCCUUCUUAGUAGCUGGUGCAGUGCUGUUUUCAACUUUCAGCCUGGGAACAAUGCUGAUAACACUGAUGUUUUUAGUUGUUGCUAAGUAAUGUUUACUCUAAUCAACGACUUUUCAAUCUCUCAUGCUCUGCCAGUGAGGAGGGGCACGGGAAACCGGGAGGAAGCAGAGACAGGACACCUGACCCAAACUAGCCAAAGGAGUAUUCCAUACCACAGCACAUCAUGCCCAGAAUAUAAACCGGGGGGAGUUACUCGGAAGGCCCAGACCACUGCUUGGGUCAGGCUGGGUAUCGGUCGGUGGGUGGUGAGCAAUUGUACCCUCUCCCCUUGUUAUUUUCCUUAUCAUUAUUAUUAUUGGUGGUAGCAGCAGUAGUUUUGUAUUAUACUUUAGUUACUGGACUGCUCUUAUCUCAACCCGUGGGAGUUACAUUCUUCCGAUUCUCCUCCCCAUCCCUCCGGGAGCAGGGAGAGGAAGAAGGGGGGGGAGUGAGUGAGCAGCUGCGUGGUUCCGAGUUACCGGCUGGGCUCAAACCACGACAGCUCCCCUCCCUUUCCCCCCACUGUUCCCACUUUGAUCAUCUCUUCUGACUCCUCUUUGCUUUUGUGUUCAAAAGCCACCAGAUGAUAAUGCAGAUUCUGGCUGUUAAGCAGCUCUGUCAGCUCUCAGGGAAUAAAACCAGCAUUCAGGAGUAUGGGUGGAUGGCAGAGACUGACAAACUGGGACCAGCACAAGCCAUGAAUUGAGCAAUGUGGGCCAAGAGAUGCAAUUCAGAGGAGGCAGAAACCACUGCCUUGCCUUGCAUAAGGCAUCAUGGUGGAUGACGUGAUGACCUGAUGUGUCAUUUCUCCAAAAUGUGACAUCUCCCAUCUCCUGACACAAGUGGCACUCAGUUUAGAGGUACUUGUUUAGCAGCAAGAGACUGCCAAUCAGCAGAUCAGCGAUGUCUGGGUGUGGAGAGGCAGGAGCUCCUGGCUUCUAAUGACUUCCUGUGUGCAAAUAUACAUUCUAAUUUAGAAAAAAACCCACCACCACCACGUUACAUAUCUUUAUGAGAUUGACAAUCACUGCUGAAUGAAAAUAGCAGAGUCAAAUAGAACAAAUCUGUUGUACUUUUCAGGCAGUUUGCUGACAUUUUCUUGAAAGCAAAUUCUAAGUGGUGUAAGGAAGCAGAACACAUAAUGAGGAACAUAAAGAUAUACACUAUCUACUUACGUCUUGUUCCUGGUGGACUUAAAGGAAAUCUGGCUUGCCCACAACAGGUGUGGCAGAUGUCCUCAUGCCUAUGGGAUGUUGGAAGAUGUUGAAGAUGUUUAAGAUGUUAGCAGCUGGUGGGCAGCAGCCUGUCCCUCUGUUGGCUGGGCCAGCAUCCCCCGUCUCCUAGGAGAGCCACCCAUGACUUCAUAGAGGGGUAUGGCAACAUCCAGCUGCAACAAGAUGAUUUUGAGGCAAAAAACCUGCCAAUAAGAUUAGGACUUUCCAAAACGCCUUCUUCCAACUCUAGCAAUAAGAAAAUCAAUGGGAUUUACUUGCAUUACCAACUGUUACGUACUUGAACUGAGUGCAGC